rnacentral:scRNA from 1 species
AGCGGGUAGAUGUCCUCCCGGUACUGGGAUGC